rnacentral:rRNA from 1 species
AACGAACGCUGGCGGCAUGCCUAACACAUGCAAGUCGAACGAGACCUUCGGGUCUAGUGGCGCACGGGUGCGUAACGCGUGGGAACCUGCCCUUAGGUUCGGAAUAACUCCCCGAAAGGGGUGCUAAUACCGUAUAAUGUCUUCGGACCAAAGAUUUAUCGCCUUUGGAUGGGCCCGCGUUGGAUUAGCUAGUUGGUAGGGUAAAAGCCUACCAAGGCGACGAUCCAUAGCUGGUCUGAGAGGAUGAUCAGCCACACUGGGACUGAGACACGGCCCAGACUCCUGCGGGAGGCAGCAGUGGGGAAUAUUGAACAAUAGGCGAAAGGCUGAUCAAGCAAUGCCGCGUGAGUGAUGAAGGGCUAAGGGUUGUAAAGCUCUUUUACCCGGGAUGAUAAUGACAGUACCGGGAGAAUAAGAUCCGGCUAACUCCGUG